GUCCACGCCCUAAACGAUGAUGACUAGUUGUUGGAGGAGUUAAAUCCUUUAGUAACGCAGCUAACGCGAGAAGUCAUCCGCCUGGGGAGUACGGUCGCAAGAUUAAAACUCAAAGGAAUUGACGGGGGCCCCGCACAAGCGGUGGAUGAUGUGGUUCAAUUCGACGCAACGCGAAAACCUUACCUACCCUUGACAUGUACGGAACCUCAUGGAGACAUGAGGGUGCCCGAAAGGGAGCCGUAACACAGGUGCUGCAUGGCUGUCGU
rnacentral:rRNA from 1 species